UUCGCUCUUCAACGAGGAAUCCCUAGUAAGCACAAGUCAUCAGCUUGUGCUGAUUACGUCCCUGCCCUUUGUACACACCGCCCGUCGCUACUACCGAUUGAAUGGCUUAGUGAGGCCUUCGGAUUGUUAGUAAAAAACUGUAACAGGUUUUCUGCCGACGAAAAGUUGGUCAAACUUGGUCAUUUAGAGGAAGUAAAAGUCGUAACAAGGUUUCCGUAGGUGAACCUGCGGAAGGAUCAUUACAAAUCGUUGGCGAAUCUCGCCACUUUUUUUUUCGUAUUUAAAACAUCUACUCUUAAAAAUUAUUUUUAAUGAUAAAAUUAAAAAAAGAUCACUUUCAACAACGGAUCUCUUGGCUCUCGCAUCGAUGAAGAACGUAGCGAAGUGCGAUAAGUAAUGUGAAUUGCAGAAUUCCGUGAAUCAUCGAAUUUUUGAACGCAAAUUGCACUCUCCGGUUUUCCGGGAGAGUAUGCCUGUUUGAGGGUCAGCCUAAAUAAAAUCGGCUUCGUUGCUGUGUUUUUCGCGGUAAUGCUUGUCGGAAAUUGGGUUAUCUUAAACUUGUUUAAGUAGCUUAAAAUUUUUUUACGAUUCUAAGAACGUUUCUAAGAAUAUAUUUCUUUCUUACGUUCAAGGUAUCGAAUACUAUUAGACGUGGCCGUCACAUCGGAUCUCGUCCAUAAUUUUUUCUUUUACUGACCUCAGACAGGUAAGAGUACCCGCUGAACUUAAGCAUAUCAAUAAGCGGAGGAAAAGAAAAUAACAAUGAUUCCCUUAGUAACGGCGAGUGAAGGGGGAAAAGCUCAAAUUUUAAAUCGGUCAGGUUCUACCUGUUCGAGUUGUAAUUUGAAGAAGCGUUUUCCGCGUUCGGGUUGACCCAAAUCCUUUGGGAUAAGGUAUCAUGGAGGGUGAGAAUCCCGUCCGGUUGACCUUGAAACGCUCUACGAUACGCUUUCAAAGAGUCGAGCUGUUUGGGAAUGCAGCUCAAAAUGGGAGGUAAAUUUCUCCUAAGGCUAAGUACCGGCGAGAGACCGAUAGCGAACAAGUACCGUGAGGGAAAGAUGAAAAGAACUUUGAAAAGAGAGUUAAACAGUACGUGAAAUUGUUGAAAGGGAAACGAUUGAAGCCAGCCGUUCUGACGGAAAAUCAACUUUUCGGGUGCCUAUCGUGGGUGACGUUGAGCCUCACGGUCUUCGUUGCUUGUGUUUGUUGGUACCUUUGGAGUGCACUUUUUCGUAUGGUAGGUCAACAUCGAUUUUAAUCGUCAUAAAAUGAUCGGAGGAAUGUGGCUUCGAUUUCGAUUGGAGUGUUAUAGCCUUUGGUAGAUGUGACGAUUGGGAUCGAGGAUUGCAACGAAUACCCUUUGGGCUGUCCGUCUGGCCUCUGAAAGUCGCUUGGGUGCUGAAAGCUUGCUUAUAGUAUUCAAGUUGGCGGUCAACAGGUUAGAACGUGAUUACAUUCGUUAAGGAUGUUGACGUAAUGGCUUUAAACGACCCGUCUUGAAACACGGACCAAGGAGUCUAACAUAUGUGCGAGUGUU
rnacentral:rRNA from 1 species